rnacentral:lncRNA from 1 species
AGAGAACAAUACAGUCCACAGUGAAACAUUGAGGAAGUCCUGGCCAGCCAUGAAGCCAACAUAGAGGAAUAGCUACAGAAGGGAAAGAUGUCUUGCCUGCUGAUUGUACUGUUUUAUUGAAAGACGUUCGAGGCGACGGAUUGGUUGCAUCUGCCGCUGCCUUUUGGGAGGCAUCCCAGACCCUCACUUGGUGCUGACACAUAACUCCCAAAACAGUGGAUCUUCAGAGACUUAAAGACAGUGUUAUCCCCUGGUGUUUGGUCUGACAGCACAAUAAGUGUUGCAGACCAAAUGUGGACAAAACGGUGCUGGUCAGUUGGGUAGGUAGGCUCCGAGGACUGUGUUAUGAGUUAUUAUUUUGGUAGUGUUAAGUCUCCCAACAUCAUCACCAUUUUGUAUAUGAAAACUUUGUUGAGUUGUAUUUUUGUUGUUACUAUAGGCAGUCCUUGAGUUACACACACCUGCA